rnacentral:rRNA from 1 species
UGGCGGCGUGGAUAAGACAUGCAAGUCGAACGGGAUAUUACGAGUAGCAAUAUGAGUGAUGUUCAGUGGCGAACGGGUGCGUAACACGUGGAUACAUUCCGGGAAGCGGGGGAUAGCCCAGGGAAACUUGGAUUAAUACCGCAUGUGGUCGAAAGACUAAAGACGGGGACCGCAAGGCCUGUCACUUCCCGAUUGGUCCGCGGCCUAUCAGCUAGUUGGCGGGGUAAAAGCCCACCAAGGCUACGACGGGUAGCUGGUCUUAGAGGACGACCAGCCACACUGGAACUGAGACACGGUCCAGACACCUACGGGUGGCAGCAGUCGAGAAUCUUUCACAAUGGGGGCAACCCUGAUGGAGCGACGCCGCGUGGAGGAUAAGGUCUUCGGAUUGUAAACUCCUGUCAUGCGCGAACAAGGUUGCAUGGGUAAUAACUGUGCAAAUUAAUGGUAGCGCAAGAGGAAGAGACGGCUAACUCUGUGCCAGCAGCCGCGGUAAUACAGAGGUCUCAAGCGUUGUUCGGAAUCACUGGGCGUAAAGGGUGCGUAGGUGGCAUGGUAAGUCAGAUGUGCAAGCCCAGGGCUCAACCUUGGAAUUGCAUCCGAUACUGCUGUGCUAGAGUACUGGAGGGGUGACUAGAAUUCUCGGUGUAGCAGUGAAAUGCGUAGAUAUCGAGAGGAAUACCAAAGGCGUAGGCAGGUCACUGGACAGUUACUGACACUGAGGCACGAAGGCCAGGGGAGCAAACGGGAUUAGAUACCCCGGUAGUCCUGGCAGUAAACGGUGCAUACUUGGUGUGGGAAGAUUCGACCCUUCCUGUGCCGGAGCUAACGCGUUAAGUAUGCCGCCUGGGAAGUACGGUCGCAAGAUUAA